UUGGUUUAGAAUUUGGUUUAGGAUUUAGGAUUUAUUUAAGAUUUAAUUUAGAAUUUAAGAUUGAUUUAUGAUUUAUUUAAAGCUAAGAAUAUGUCUAAGAUUUAUUUAAGGCUUAAGAUUUGUAUAGGAUUUAUUCAGGACUUAGGAUUUAGGAUAUGUUUAGGAUUUGAUUUAAGGUUUUAGAUUUUUUUAGAGUUUGAUUUAGGAUUUAGAAUUUUUUUAAGGCUUAAAAUUUAGGAUUUGUGUAAGGUUUGAUUUAGGAUUUAAGUUUUGUCAAGGAUUUAGUUUAGAAUUUAGGAUUUAUUUAGGACUUAAGAUUUAAGAUUUAUUUAGGACUUAGUAUUUAGGAUUUAUCUAGGAUUUUUUUAUAAUUUAGGAUUUAUUUAGAUCUUAGAACUUAAGAUUUAUCUAUGAUUUGAUUUAAGAUAUAGGAUUUAUUUAAGACUUAGGAUUUAUCUAAGGUUUGGUUUAGGACUUAAGAUUUAAGGAUUAAUUAAGUUUUGACAUAAAAUU
rnacentral:lncRNA from 1 species